rnacentral:rRNA from 1 species
AUGGCGUCGUCGGCGGGUGCUCCAGGCGCGGGGGCCGGCGGGGGCGGCAGGAGCAGGGACAUAAGGCUGACGGUGCAGGAGGCGGCCAAGAAGCUGUCCCUGUGGCACACGGCCACGUUCCGCCCCAUAACGACCCACGACGACCUGGAGCCCAUCCUCGCCGCUGCCGGCUUCGUGGCGCUGCCGCUGCCGCCCCCGCCGGAGCCACCCCAGGAUCAGCAGCAGGUUCGCUGGAGGGAGUACACCUUCCUGGGCUGCGGCGGCGGCGGCGGCGGCGGUAAUGCGGUGGUGGGUUGGCUGGGCCCGCGGCCGCGGCUGCCGUACCCGCGCGCGGACGCGCUGCACAUCCGCACGUACCAGGCCUUCCUCGGGGCCGUCGAGGUCUACCUCGGCGCCGCCCGUGUGCCCAACCUCUUCCACGUCAGAUGCAUGCCGGUGACGACGAAGCAGGACAGGGUGUUCGACAAGGUCUUUCGGGCUAUGAGGAACGACCAGGAUGGUAUCAUCGUCUACCGGGAUGGCACCCUUGACGAAGCCACCUUCGCCGCCGUCUGUAGUGAGCACACCCCCGUCGAGGAUGUCGGGUACCACGUCAUUCCUGGCAGUGUUUGCAGCGAGUUCGGCUACCUUCGGCAUAGCAAGAUCCAUGGUGGCAACUUCGACGAGGAGACCUGCAAGGGCUGCCCAGGCCACAAGGAUGUCGUCCGGCUCAAGGACCUCUCCCCCAGAUCCUGCAGAAACAUGUGGGUCUAG